rnacentral:tRNA from 1 species
GCGGGUGUGGCGCAAUUGGCAGACGCGGCUGGCUCAAGCCCAGUUAUCGCGCAAGCGACUCUAUCGGUUCAAAUCCGAUCACCCGCA